CCGGUAAGGUGAUAUGAACCGUUAUAACCGGCGAUACCCGAAUGGGGAAACCCAGUGUGACUCGUCACACUAUCAUUAACUGAAUCCAUAGGUUAAUGAGGCGAACCGGGGGAACUGAAACAUCUAAGUACCCCGAGGAAAAGAAAUCAACCGAGAUUCCCCCAGUAGCGGCGAGCGAACGGGGAGGAGCCCAGAGCCUGAAUCAGCAUGUGUGUUAGUGGAAGCGUCUGGAAAGGCGCGCGAUACAGGGUGACAGCCCCGUACACAAAAGCGCAUGUGCUGUGAGCUCGAUGAGUAGGGCGGGACACGUGGUAUCCUGUCUGAAUAUGGGGGGACCAUCCUCCAAGGCUAAAUACUCCUGACUGACCGAUAGUGAACCAGUACCGUGAGGGAAAGGCGAAAAGAACCCCGGCGAGGGGAGUGAAAAAGAACCUGAAACCGUGUACGUACAAGCAGUGGGAGCACAGGUUUACCUGUGUGACUGCGUACCUUUUGUAUAAUGGGUCAGCGACUUAUAUUCUGUAGCAAGGUUAACCGAAUAGGGGAGCCGGAGGGAAACCGAGUCUUAAUUGGGCGUUAAGUUGCAGGGUAUAGACCCGAAACCCGGUGAUCUAGCCAUGGGCAGGUUGAAGGUUGGGUAACACUAACUGGAGGACCGAACCGACUAAUGUUGAAAAAUUAGCGGAUGACCUGUGGCUGGGGGUGAAAGGCCAAUCAAACCGGGAGAUAGCUGGUUCUCCCCGAAAGCUAUUUAGGUAGCGCCUCGUGAAUUCAUCUCCGGGGGUAGAGCACUGUUUCGGCUAGGGGGCCAUCCCGGCUUACCAACCCGAUGCAAACUGCGAAUACCGGAGAAUGUUAUCACGGGAGACACACGGCGGGUGCUAACGUCCGUCGUGAAGAGGGAAACAACCCAGACCGCCAGCUAAGGUCCCAAAGUCAUGGUUAAGUGGGAAACGAUGUGGGAAGGCCCAGACAGCCAGGAUGUUGGCUUAGAAGCAGCCAUCAUUUAAAGAAAGCGUAAUAGCUCACUGGUCGAGUCGGCCUGCGCGGAAGAUGUAACGGGGCUAAACCAUGCACCGAAGCUGCGGCAGCGACACUGUGUGUUGUUGGGUAGGGGAGCGUUCUGUAAGCCUGUGAAGGUGUGUCGUGAGGCAUGCUGGAGGUAUCAGAAGUGCGAAUGCUGACAUAAGUAACGAUAAAGCGGGUGAAAAGCCCGCUCGCCGGAAGACCAAGGGUUCCUGUCCAACGUUAAUCGGGGCAGGGUGAGUCGACCCCUAAGGCGAGGCCGAAAGGCGUAGUCGAUGGGAAACGGGUUAAUAUUCCCGUACUUGGUGUUACUGCGAAGGGGGGACGGAGAAGGCUAUGUUGGCCGGGCGACGGUUGUCCCGGUUUAAGCGUGUAGGUGUGUGUUCCAGGUAAAUCCGGUUCACUUUAACACUGAGGCGUGACGACGAGGCACUACGGUGCUGAAGCAACAAAUGCCCUGCUUCCAGGAAAAGCCUCUAAGCAUCAGGUAACAUCAAAUCGUACCCCAAACCGACACAGGUGGUCAGGUAGAGAAUACCAAGGCGCUUGAGAGAACUCGGGUGAAGGAACUAGGCAAAAUGGUGCCGUAACUUCGGGAGAAGGCACGCUGACACGUAGGUGAAGUGAUUUACUCAUGGAGCUGAAGUCAGUCGAAGAUACCAGCUGGCUGCAACUGUUUAUUAAAAACACAGCACUGUGCAAACACGAAAGUGGACGUAUACGGUGUGACGCCUGCCCGGUGCCGGAAGGUUAAUUGAUGGGGUCAGCGCAAGCGAAGCUCCUGAUCGAAGCCCCGGUAAACGGCGGCCGUAACUAUAACGGUCCUAAGGUAGCGAAAUUCCUUGUCGGGUAAGUUCCGACCUGCACGAAUGGCGUAAUGAUGGCCAGGCUGUCUCCACCCGAGACUCAGUGAAAUUGAACUCGCUGUGAAGAUGCAGUGUACCCGCGGCAAGACGGAAAGACCCCGUGAACCUUUACUAUAGCUUGACACUGAACAUUGAGCCUUGAUGUGUAGGAUAGGUGGGAGGCUUUGAAGUGUGGACGCCAGUCUGCAUGGAGCCGACCUUGAAAUACCACCCUUUAAUGUUUGAUGUUCUAACGUGGACCCGUUACCCGGGUUGCGGACAGUGUCUGGUGGGUAGUUUGACUGGGGCGGUCUCCUCCUAAAGAGUAACGGAGGAGCACGAAGGUUGGCUAAUCCUGGUCGGACAUCAGGAGGUUAGUGCAAUGGCAUAAGCCAGCUUGACUGCGAGCGUGACGGCGCGAGCAGGUGCGAAAGCAGGUCAUAGUGAUCCGGUGGUUCUGAAUGGAAGGGCCAUCGCUCAACGGAUAAAAGGUACUCCGGGGAUAACAGGCUGAUACCGCCCAAGAGUUCAUAUCGACGGCGGUGUUUGGCACCUCGAUGUCGGCUCAUCACAUCCUGGGGCUGAAGUAGGUCCCAAGGGUAUGGCUGUUCGCCAUUUAAAGUGGUACGCGAGCUGGGUUUAGAACGUCGUGAGACAGUUCGGUCCCUAUCUGCCGUGGGCGCUGGAGAACUGAGGGGGGCUGCUCCUAGUACGAGAGGACCGGAGUGGACGCAUCACUGGUGUUCGGGUUGUCAUGCCAAUGGCACUGCCCGGUAGCUAAAUGCGGAAGAGAUAAGUGCUGAAAGCAUCUAAGCACGAAACUUGCCCCGAG
rnacentral:rRNA from 1 species